rnacentral:piRNA from 1 species
UGGGACUUAGAAGAAAGAACCUCAUGGUUUG